rnacentral:rRNA from 1 species
ACCUAAUAGAUACCCUGGUAGUCCACGCCCUAAACGAUGCGAACUGGAUGUUGGGUACAUUACGGUGCUCAGUGUCGAAAGCCAACGCGUUAAGUUCGCCGCCUGGGGAGUACGGUCGCAAGACUGAAACUCAAAGGAAUUGACGGGGGCCCGCACAAGCGGUGGAGUAUGUGGUUUAAAUUCGAUGCAACGCGAAGAACCUUGCCUGGCCUUGACAUCUGUCGAAUCCUGCAGAGAUGCGGGAGUGCCGCAAGGAACGACAAGACAGGUGCUGCAUGGCUGUCGUCAGCUCGUGUCGUGAGAUGUUUGGGUUAAGUCCCGCAACGAGCGCAACCCUUGUCCCUAGUUGCCAGCACAUCAUGGUGGGAACUCUAGGGAGACUGCCGGUGACAAACCGGAGGAAGGUGGGGAUGACGUCAAGUCCUCAUGGCCCUUACGGCCAGGGCUACACACGUACUACAAUGGUCGGUACAGAGGGUUGCGAAGCCGCGAGGUGGAGCCAAUCCCAGAAAACCGAUCCCAGUCCGGAUUGGA